GACGAAGGGGGCUAGCGUUGCUCGGAAUCACUGGGCGUAAAGCGCACGUAGGCGGCUUUCUAAGUCAGGGGUGAAAUCCUGGAGCUCAACUCCAGAACUGCCUUUGAUACUGGGAAGCUCGAGUCCGGAAGAGGUGAGUGGAACUCCGAGUGUAGAGGUGAAAUUCGUAGAUAUUCGGAAGAACACCAGUGGCGAAGGCGGCUCACUGGUCCGGUACUGACGCUGAGGUGCGAAAGCGUGGGGAGCAAACAGG
rnacentral:rRNA from 1 species